rnacentral:rRNA from 1 species
GAUGAACGCUGGCGGCGUGCCUAAUACAUGCAAGUCGAGCGAACAGACGAGGAGCUUGCUCCUCUGACGUUAGCGGCGGACGGGUGAGUAACACGUAGCUAACCUACCUAUUAGACUUGGCUAACUUCGGGAAACCGGAGCAACUACCGGAUACUCUAUUUAACCGCAUGGUUCAAUAGUGAAAGACGGUUUUGCUGUCACUUCUAGAUGUAUCCGCGACGCAGUAGCUAGUUGGUAAGGUAACGGCUUACCAAGGCGGCGAUGCGUUGCCGACAUGAGGGGGGGAUGGGGGACACUGGAACUGAGACGCGGUCCAGACACCGAGGGGAGGCCCAAGUAGGGAAGGGAGGGAGAUGGGGGAAAGAUUGAAGGAGCAGUGGAGGGUGAGUGAAGAAGGGCUUCGGAUGGGAAAACUCUGUUAGUGGUGAAGAACAAAUGUGUAAGUGACUAAGCACGGUGUGACGGUAGUGGAUCAGGAAGCACCGGCUAACUACGUG